AACAUAUUGUUGGAGACAGGUGUCGCAAGACUUAAUAGGGAAUUCGGUAGAAGCCGGAGCGGUCCCGCCACUGUAAGAGGAGUCCUUCAUAAAAGGCCACUGGAGAAAUCUCUGGGAAGGCAUGAUUGGACGAUGAAUCUGAGCCAGGAGAACUGCCUGUUUUGACAUCACCGUC
rnacentral:ncRNA from 21 species